UACGAAGGGGGCUAGCGUUGCUCGGAAUCACUGGGCGUAAAGGGUGCGUAGGCGGGUCUUUAAGUCAGGGGUGAAAUCCCAGAGCUCAACUCUGGAACUGCCUUUGAUACUGGGUAUCUUGAGUAUGGAAGAGGUGAGUGGAAUUCCGAGUGUAGAGGUGAAAUUCGUAGAUAUUCGGAGGAACACCAGUGGCGAAGGCGGCUCACUGGUCCAUUACUGACGCUGAGGUGCGAAAGCGUGGGGAGCAAACAGG
rnacentral:rRNA from 1 species